rnacentral:rRNA from 1 species
AGGGUUUGAUCCUGGCUCAGAACGUACGCUGGCGGCACGCCUAACACAUGCAAGUCGAACGAAGUAGCAAUACUUAGUGGCAGACGGGUGAGUAACAUGUAGGUAUCUGCCCUUUGGCCUGGAAUAACACGAGGAAACUUGUGCUAAUACCGGAUAAGUCUUUACGGAGAAAGCUUUAUGCACCAUUGGAUGAGCCUGCACUUGAUUAGUUUGUUGGUGGGGUAAUGGCCUACCAAGACUGUGAUCAAUAGCUGAUUUGAGAGGAUGAUCAGCCACAUUGGGACUGAGACACGGCCCAAACUCCUACGGGAGGCAGCAGUGGGGAAUCUUGCACAAUGGAGGAAACUCUGAUGCAGCGAUGCCGCGUGAGUGAAGAAGGCCCUUGGGUUGUAAAGCUCUUUCGUCGGGGAAGAAAAUGACUGUACCCGAAUAAGAAGGUCCGGCUAACUUCGUGCCAGCAGCCGCGGUAAUACGAAGGGACCUAGCGUAGUUCGGAAUUACUGGGCUUAAAGAGUUCGUAGGUGGUUAAAAAAGUUGGUGGUGAAAUCCCAGAGCUUAACUCUGGAACUGCCAUCAAAACUUUUUAGCUAGAGUAUGAUAGAGGAAAGCAGAAUUUCUAGUGUAGAGGUGAAAUUCGUAGAUAUUAGAAAGAAUACCAAUUGCGAAGGCAGCUUUCUGGAUCAUUACUGACACUGAGGAACGAAAGCAUGGGUAGCGAAGAGGAUUAGAUACCCUCGUAGUCCAUGCCGUAAACGAUGUGUGUUAGACGUUGGAAAUUUAUUUUCAGUGUCGCAGCGAAAGCGAUAAACACACCGCCUGGGGAGUACGACCGCAAGGUUAAAACUCAAAUGAAUUGACGGGGACCCGCACAAGUAGUGGAGCAUGUGGUUUAAUUCGAAGAUACGCGCAGAACCUUACCAACACUUGACAUGUUCGUCGCGACUUUAAGAGAUUAAAGUUUUCGGUUCGGCCGGACGAAACA